rnacentral:rRNA from 1 species
AGUGAACGCUGGCGGUAAGCCUAACACAUGCAAGUCGAACGGCAGCACAGUAAGAGCUUGCUCUUACGGGUGGCGAGUGGCGCAAGGGAGAGGAAUACAACGAAAUGUACUUUGUCGAGGGGGCUAACGUAGGGAAACUUACGCUAAUACCGCAUAUGACCUGCGGGUGAAAGCAGGGGAUCUUCUGACCUUGCGGGCUUGAAUGAGCCGAUGUCGGAUUAGCUAGUGGGCGGGGUAAAGGCCAACCAAGGCGACGAUCCGUAGAUGGUCUGAGAGGAUGAGCAGCCACACUGGAACUGAGACACGGUCCACACUCCUACGGGAGGCAGCAGUAGGGAAUAUUGGACGAUGGGCGCAAGCAUAGUCCAGCCAUACCACGUGAGUGAAGAAAGCCUUCGGGUUGUACAGACCUUUUGUUGGGAAAGAAAAGCAGCAGGUUAAUACCCCGCUAUUCUGACGGUACCCAACAAAAAAGCCCCGGCUAACUUCGUG